rnacentral:rRNA from 1 species
GACGUAGGGCGCAAGCGUUGUCCGGAUUUAUUGGGCGUAAAGAGCUCGUAGGCGGCUCGUUGCGUCGGCUGUGAAAACCCGCAGCUUAACUGUGGGCCUGCAGCCGAUACGGGCGGGCUGGAGUUCGGUAGGGGAGACUGGAAUUCCUGGUGUAGCGGUGAAAUGCGCAGAUAUCAGGAGGAACACCGGUGGCGAAGGCGGGUCGCUGGACCGGUUCUGACGCUGAGGCGCGAAAGCGUGGGGAGCAAACGGG